rnacentral:rRNA from 1 species
GACGAACGCUGGUGGCGUGCUUAACACAUGCAAGUCGAACGGAAAGGCCCUGCUUUUGUGGGGUGCUCGAGUGGCGAACGGGUGAGUAACACGUGAGUAACCUGCCCUUGACUUUGGGAUAACUUCAGGAAACUGGGGCUAAUACCGGAUAGGAGCUCCUGCUGCAUGGUGUGGGUUGGAAAGUUUCGGCGGUUGGGGAUGGACUCGCGGCUUAUCAGCUUGUUGGUGGGGUAGUGGCUUACCAAGGCUUUGACGGGUAGCCGGCCUGAGAGGGUGACCGGCCACAUUGGGACUGAGAUACGGCCCAGACUCCUACGGGAGGCAGCAGUGGGGAAUAUUGCACAAUGGGCGGAAGCCUGAUGCAGCAACGCCGCGUGCGGGAUGACGGCCUUCGGGUUGUAAACCGAUUUCGACUGUGACGAAGCGUGAGUGACGGUAAUGGGUAAAGAAGCACCGGCUAACUACGUG